UCUCACCUUACGGUGGCAGUCUCUUUAGAGUGCCCACCUCGCGUGAUGGCAACUAAAGAUAAGGGUUGCGCUCGUUAUGGGACUUAACCCGACACCUCACGGCACGAGCUGACGACAACCAUGCAGCACCUUGUAUAAAGCCCCGAAGGGAAGAAGUGUUUCCACCUCAUGCACUAUACAUUUAAACCCAGGUAAGGUUCCUCGCGUAUCAUCGAAUUAAACCACAUGUUCCUCCGCUUGUGCGGGCCCCCGUCAAUUCCUUUGAGUUUCAUCGUUGCCGACGUACUCCCCAGGUGGCUCACUUAAUACUUUCGCUUAACCUCAGACCAUAUAUCGCCUAAGGCCAGUGAGCAUCGUUUACGGCAUGGACUAC
rnacentral:misc_RNA from 1 species